GACGAACGCUGGCGGCGUGCCUAAUACAUGCAAGUUGAGCGCUGAAGGUUGGUACUUGUACCGACUGGAUGAGCAGCGAACGGGUGAGUAACGCGUGGGGAAUCUGCCUUUGAGCGGGGGACAACAUUUGGAAACGAAUGCUAAUACCGCAUAAAAACUUUAAGCACAAGUUUUAAGUUUGAAAGAUGCAAUUGCAUCACUCAAAGAUGAUCCCGCGUUGUAUUAGCUAGUUGGUGAGGUAAAGGCUCACCAAGGCGAUGAUACAUAGCCGACCUGAGAGGGUGAUCGGCCACAUUGGGACUGAGACACGGCCCAAACUCCUACGGGAGGCAGCAGUAGGGAAUCUUCGGCAAUGGACGAAAGUCUGACCGAGCAACGCCGCGUGAGUGAAGAAGGGUGUCGGAUCGUAAAACUCUGUUGGUAGAGAAGAACGUUGGUGAGAGUGGAAAGCUCAUCAAGUGACGGUAACUACCCAGAAAGGGACGGCUAACUACGUG
rnacentral:rRNA from 1 species